UCUUCAGUUCCUCUCAGCAGACACACACACUCAUCGCCAGCCCUCGGCAUUUUGUUUCCAGUCCCCGCUCGCUUCUCCCAGUCCUCGUUCUUUCACUCCUUCUCCCCAGACCUGCUGUCCUCAAGCUGUCCACCAGAUGCCCUCGGACUUUCCCUGCUUUCCCCGUCGACACACCUGUUCCCACUUCUCAUCAGUCCAGCAGCUACGUGGACCACUCCUCACCUGCGACUCAUUUCCCUCAUCAGACACACUAUUUAUACCGGUCCGCUUCUUUUAUUCUCUGCCAGUUUGUCAUAGUUGCUUUCAUGGACUCUCAUGUUCUAACCAACUCGUUUUGACCUGUGAGUUUUUGAGCAUUAAAGCCUCCUCAGUCAUUCCACCUGUCCGCCUCGUUCUCAUUCGUGACAACAGACAGACUGAUCAUCUGCUGAGAGGAUGAUGGAUGCCAGCUGACCGCUGCAGCUCGUUCAAACACUGACAAACAAUGUAAUGAACGUUUGCAUGGUUGCCUAAUUAAUUAAUGAGAGAUCUGCCAGUUAAUUGGUGGUGACAACAGAUCCAUCAGGACUCACCUGCGGGUCUGCAGUCCCGGUUAUUCAGCUGGAUUUCCACACAGCAGAUGAGCCUGUGAGCAGCAUCGUUGUCUGUCGGAGUGUUUUCACAGCUGAGGCAGAGGAGCAGGAGUGAAAAUCAGCCUGAUGAUCGCAGGAUGUUGUUUUAUAAUCUGCGGUGAAAGACGAGCGACGUCCGUCCCGUUUGUCUCCCCCCCGCACAGAGCGCUCACCUGCCGGCGUGUCCGCGCCUGUCAGUCCCGCUGCUGCUCCUCCAUCAUCCGGAGCUCGGCGGUCCUCUCCGGUGCUUCAGCUCCAGCGGGAUGAACACAGGUUAACAGUUACAUCAGAAGACACAGAGAGAGAAAGACGCCCCCCAGCGGCCCCUUCAGACACAUGAUUAUAAAAUUCCUGCUGAGAAUGACUUAAAUACUCAUUUUUAAUCUUAAUCCUGCAGAUUGGAGACCUGCAGACCCCGCAGGUAUACCGUCAUAUCUUUAUUCUAUCACUCCAGUGUUUCAUGUCAGUUUGUCUCUAAUGACUUCAUAUCAUCGUUUCCUGUUUCUGUUUUAAUUAGAUCUUUAUUAAAACUGCGUAGGACCCCAA